rnacentral:rRNA from 1 species
UGCUAGAAACAGGGGGAUAACACUUGGAAACAGGUGCUAAUACCGUAUAACAACAAAAUCCGCAUGGAUUUUGUUUGAAAGGUGGCUUCGGCUAUCACUUCUGGAUGAUCCCGCGGCGUAUUAGUUAGUUGGUGAGGUAAAGGCCCACCAAGACGAUGAUACGUAGCCGACCUGAGAGGGUAAUCGGCCACAUUGGGACUGAGACACGGCCCAAACUCCUACGGGAGGCAGCAGUAGGGAAUCUUCCACAAUGGACGAAAGUCUGAUGGAGCAAUGCCGCGUGAGUGAAGAAGGGUUUCGGCUCGUAAAACUCUGUUGUUAAAGAAGAACACCUUUGAGAGUAACUGUUCAAGGGUUGACGGUAUUUAACCAGAAAGCCACGGCUAACUACGUGCCAGCAGCCGCGGUAAUACGUAGGUGGCAAGCGUUGUCCGGAUUUAUUGGGCGUAAAGCGAGCGCAGGCGGUUUUUUAAGUCUGAUGUGAAAGCCUUCGGCUUAACCGGAGAAGUGCAUCGGAAACUGGGAGACUUGAGUGCAGAAGAGGACAGUGGAACUCCAUGUGUAGCGGUGGAAUGCGUAGAUAUAUGGAAGAACACCAGUGGCGA